rnacentral:rRNA from 1 species
AGAGUUUGAUCAUGGCUCAGGACGAACGCUGGCGGCGUGCCUAACACAUGCAAGUCGAACGGUGACCCAGAGCUUGCUCUGGUGAUCAGUGGCGAACGGGUGAGUAACACGUGGGCAAUCUGCCCUUAGCUCUGGGAUAACCUCGGGAAACUGGGGAUAAUACCGGAUACAAAUACCGAACCGCAUGGCUCGGUAUUGAAAGUUUUUCGGCUAAGGAUGAGCCCGCGGCCUAUCAGCUAGUUGGUGGGGUAAUGGCCCACCAAGGCGACGACGGGUAGCCGGCCUGAGAGGGCGACCGGCCACACUGGGACUGAGAUACGGCCCAGACUCCUACGGGAGGCAGCAGUGGGGAAUAUUGCGCAAUGGGCGAAAGCCUGACGCAGCAACGCCGCGUGAGGGAUGACGGCCUUCGGGUUGUAAACCUCUUUCAGCAGGGACGAAGCGAAAGUGACUGUACAGCAAUAGAGC